UUUUUUUUUUCUUUUGGAAGGUUUUAGUACUUGUUUUGUUUACUGACGAUGGGAGUCUGUUAUUUUCAUUGGGUUGUUCUUUCUUCGGGGAAGCUAUUGAUUUCAAGAGAAAAACUUUUUGAACCAAUUUUAUAUUUUUAGACCAUAUACUAAAUACAUGAAUAUAUGAAUUUUUUUUAAAUAUAUUUACCUGGGAAAUAAUUUAGCGAUGGAUUGGUCCCCAAACUCCCAAUUUCCUUUAACGUCGGUGAACAGUGCUAAUGUCAUGCAUGAAUAAUUGCU
rnacentral:lncRNA from 1 species